UUCGCCCUUAGAGUUUGAUCCUGGCUCAGGACGAACGCUGGCGGCGUGCCUAACACAUGCAAGUUGAACGGAGUUAAGUGCUUCGGUAUUUAACUUAGUGGCGAACGGGUGAGUAACGCGUGAGAAACCUGCCUUUCAGUGGGGGACAACAGUUGGAAACGACUGCUAAUACCGCAUGAUACUUUUUGGGGGCAUCCCUGAAAAGUCAAAGCUUUAUGUGCUGAAAGAUGGUCUCGCGUCUGAUUAGCUAGUUGGUGAGGUAAUGGCUCACCAAGGCGACGAUCAGUAGCCGGUCUGAGAGGAUGAACGGCCACAUUGGGACUGAGAUACGGCCCAGACUCCUACGGGAGGCAGCAGUGGGGAAUAUUGGGCAAUGGGGGAAACCCUGACCCAGCAACGCCGCGUGAAGGAGGAAGGCUUUCGGGUUGUAAACUUCUUUUAGCAGGGACGAAGGACGUGACGGUACCUGCAGAAAAAGCAACGGCUAACUACGUGCCAGCAGCCGCGGUAAUACGUAGGUUGCAAGCGUUGUCCGGAUUUACUGGGUGUAAAGGGCGUGUAGGCGGAGAUGCAAGUUGGGAGUGAAAUCCCGGGGCUCAACCCCGGAACUGCUUUCAAAACUGUAUCCCUUGAGUGUCGGAGAGGCAAGCGGAAUUCCUAGUGUAGCGGUGAAAUGCGUAGAUAUUAGGAGGAACACCAGUGGCGAAGGCGGCUUGCUGGACGAUAACUGACGCUGAGGCGCGAAAGCGUGGGAAGCAAACAGGAUUAGAUACCCUGGUAGUCCACGCUGUAAACGAUGAAUACUAGGGGUGGGGGUUUCAACACCUCCGUGCCCCCCCCUAACCCAUUAAGUAUUCCCCCUGGGGAGUACGGUCGCAGGAUUUAUAACUCAAAGGGAAUUGACGGGGACCCGCACAAGUAGCGGAGCAUGUGGUUUAAUUGGAAGCAACGCGAAGAACCUUACUUACACUUGACAUCCCUUGCAUUACUCUUAAUCGAGGAAAUCCCUUCGGGGACAAGGUGACAGGUGGUGCAUGGUUGUCGCCAGCUCGUGUCGUGAGAUGUUGGGUUAAGCCCCGCAACGAGCGCAACCCUUGUCGUUAGUUACUACCAUUAAGUUGAGGACUCUAGCGAGACUGCCUGGGUUAACCAGGAGGAAGGUGGGGAUGACGUCAAAUCAUCAUGCCCCUUAUGUGUAGGGCUACACACGUGCUACAAUGGCUGGUACAGAGAGAUGCAAUACCGUGAGGUGGAGCCAAACUUAAAAACCAGUCUCAGUUCGGAUUGUAGGCUGAAACUCGCCUACAUGAAGCUGGAGUUACUAGUAAUCGCGAAUCAGAAUGUCGCGGUGAAUACGUUACCGGGUCUUGUACUCACCGCCCGUCA
rnacentral:rRNA from 1 species